CCUACGGGAGGCAGCAGUGAGGAAUAUUGGUCAAUGGACGAGAGUCUGAACCAGCCAAGUAGCGUGAAGGAUGACUGCCCUAUGGGUUGUAAACUUCUUUUAUAAAGGAAUAAAACGAGGCACGUGUGCCUUUUUGCAUGUACUUUAUGAAUAAGGAUCGGCUAACUCCGUGCCAGCAGCCGCGGUAAUACGGAGGAUCCGAGCGUUAUCCGGAUUUAUUGGGUUUAAAGGGAGCGUAGAUGGGUUGUUAAGUCAGUUGUGAAAGUUUGCGGCUCAACCUUAAAAUUGCAAUUGAUACUGGCAGUCGUGAGUACAGUUGAGGUAGGCGGAAUUCGUGGUGUAGCGGUGAAAUGCUUAGAUAUCACGAAGAACCCCGAUUGCGAAGGCAGCUUACUAAACUGUGACUGACAUUGAUGCUCGAAAGUGUGGGUAUCAAACAGGAUUAGAUACCCGAGUAGUC
rnacentral:rRNA from 1 species